rnacentral:rRNA from 1 species
AUGAACGCUGGCGGCGUGCCUAAUACAUGCAAGUCGAGCGAACGGACGAGAAGCUUGCUUCUCUGAUGUUAGCGGCGGACGGGUGAGUAACACGUGGAUAACCUACCUAUAAGACUGGGAUAACUUCGGGAAACCGGAGCUAAUACCGGAUAAUAUUUUGAACCGCAUGGUUCAAAAGUGAAAGACGGUCUUGCUGUCACUUAUAGAUGGAUCCGCGCUGCAUUAGCUAGUUGGUAAGGUAACGGCUCACCAAGGCAACGAUGCAUAGCCGACCUGAGAGGGUGAUCGGCCACACUGGAACUGAGACACGGUCCAGACUCCUACGGGAGGCAGCAGUAGGGAAUCUUCCGCAAUGGGCGAAAGCCUGACGGAGCAACGCCGCGUGAGUGAUGAAGGUCUUCGGAUCGUAAAACUCUGUUAUUAGGGAAGAACAUAUGUGUAAGUAACUGUGCACAUCUUGACGGUACCUAAUCAGAAAGCCACGGCUAACUACGUG